CUCUCGUGAAGCCGCGGGUAAGAACGGGGGCAAGCCCGAGACGUAUUGGUAUAUUGAACAGUAUAGUGACGCCGCAGUGUCUCCACGAGCUGCCCAUCAUUAAUUUCACAAGUUAUCCGGGUAUUUGCAUUACAUGGUACUGGACCUGAUGCUCAGCGUAGUCUGUGAGCAGUGAGCUCCUAUUUGAUGUAGUUUCAUAUUGACUUCUUAUCCAUCAGUUUUGGGAAUAUUGUGAAACACAAUGGAAAGAGUCGAAAUGGGUACAAGACGAAGAGAGAUCUAACUUGGAGACAGCGAAGAUGGACGUUUCCCAAACCGGCAGCCACUGUCUAGUUAGUGAUAUAUCUAAUGCGGAAAAUAUCGAGACAAAUUUCAUUUUACGCAAUUGCUGCAAAGUGUUCCGGUGGCGCAGCCGUCUCAUAUCAUACUAGCCAUCCCAGAGAGUGGGAAUCACAGAGUCACUGCGCUCCAAGCUCAGAGAGUAAUUUGCGGUGAAAAGCAGAUUCAAUUAAAGUGAGAAAAUGCCUCACUUCAAAUGAUGUGAUGGUCUAACGAGUUUAACUUUUCUCUCCAUUAUAGGCUAUCUGAAGAACGAAAGGGUUGCAUUAAUUUGGAAUUGAAGGGAUCAUAAAAAUUAUCUGUCAUGGAUUGUGCCUAUUUUGUAUUUUACUUUGAAUUUAAGCCAACGGAGUAGCCUUAGGGAAUGAACUCACUUUUCUUUUAAACACUGCUGCAUUGGAUCAGAAUGGAUUUGUCAUUGUAGCCAACUGCUGCUGCUGAAGACCGCGCGCUCCGUCCGGGAUUUCUGACUUUUUUUCCCUCAACGAUGCAGCUCCUUCGACUAGCGUGGGCUUUAACCGGAGCCGCAGUCUGCUGUUUUGUUAUCCUCCUCAUUCACUCACACGUUCUAAAAGAAGGUCAGUUGGCAGCAGGUACGUGUGAGAUUGUCACUCUGGACCGGGACAGCAGUCAGCCGCGGCGGACCAUAGCACGACAGACGGCGAGGUGUGCCUGCAAGAAGGGACAGAUUGCCGGCACCACGAGAGCCAGACCGGCUUGUGUAGAUGCUCUCAUUGUGAGAAGCCGGCAGUGGUGUGAGAUGACGCCUUGCUUGGAUGACGAGGGCUGUGACCUCUUAGUAAACCACUCGGGCUGGACCUGCACACAGCCAGGGGGCCGGGUGAAGACCACCACGGCCCUAUGACGACACACACACAAAAACACAACGCCUUGCCAGCCAGACAGACAGCAAAAGUCAACCACUUUUCAAGGACAGACAGGAGGGAAACAACAAACUGCAGAUCCUGGCAGGCUAGAGCGACACAGCAAGGUCUCCUGAUGAUGGCGGGGACAGACGCUCCCGAGAGAGAGGGGAUGGUGUGUGAGCUGCUUCCCAUAGUCCAUCGUCACCGCCUCUGUGGAGCAUACGUCGUCUUAUCAUCAGCUGUCCUUCUAUUGUUCUGUGCAGCAGCGUGAAGCCACGUAGAACCUACGUUGCCAAAGGCCCGGACUCCAAAUACAGGAGUUGGAGCUUAACAUGGAACAUAUGGACUCUGCAAUGCUCUAUUAUUCCUUGGGAGACAGAACUUAUUUUUCAGUUGAGUUUGGAGAAUUCUGAUGUGUGUCGUCAUGAACUUCUGGAUCUGACCCAACCUAGACUUUGGAGACACGGGACAAAAUGUUUAUUUUGGAGUUUAUGCUUGGCAACUCCUCUGUAGUGAUUUUACAGACCAAAGAAAAAGAUAGCCGACUGCUCCAUAUUUUGGAGACACAGUGGACUUCGGGAUGAAGGGUUUAGAGACUUUUCCAAGUUGAUGAAACAUGCAAUCCCAUAUUCCCUCUCACCAUAUUACAGACUCUAGACAUACCCACAAAUGUACACAUGGUGAUAAAAGUGAUGUGUUGUGCAGAGUAAAUGUGUACAAAUGAAUGACGAAUACUGAAUGGAAAAAGUCAAGGGACGUUGUGUAAUUCGUCAAUGAUGUAUCUCUUGGACUACUAAACUGUACUUGUAUACUCACUGCUCUAUUUUGAACAUACAUUAAAUCAGAUAUACAUUUUCAAUUGCUAUAUUUGGACAAUUUGCAGUCAGCAUGACUGGUUAUAGUGAAAGAAACAAAUCAUUUCUCACCAGUAAAGAAUAGGAGGAAAAUAGUAAAUACAUCAUAUCUGUUUGGGGUAAAGAAACAUUAAAUGUAUUUUCAAAAGCCUAAAGUUAUAUAUUUAACAGUUUUAUAUGUUGUAUCUUUGUAGAAAACCUUAUUUAACACUGAAAAUGUGGUCACAUUGUGUAUCCACAGUUUAUGAUUGGCAAUGAGCUAUGUCCUUAACCUACUGGUCUCUUGUUCAUUUGAACAAGUUUUUUCAUCAUAAAAAGUCAAUUAUUUAACAUGAAUUGAAGAAAGAACAGAAUUAAAGCAUUCAGAUCAUA